UCAACUUGAGAGUUUGAUCCUGGCUCAGAACGAACGCUGGCGGCAGGCCUAACACAUGCAAGUCGAGCGCACCCUUCGGGGCGAGCGGCGGACGGGUUAGUAACGCGUGGGAACGUACCCUUUUCUACGGAAUAGCCUUUGGAAACGAAGAGUAAUACCGUAUACGCCCUUUGGGGGAAAGAUUUAUCGGAGAAGGAUCGG
rnacentral:rRNA from 1 species